UCCCUUUAACUAGAAGCUGCGUCAUACACACGGAGCAUUUGGGAGACCACGAUGUCGUCUUCCUUCUGUCAGGAGGAUCCAAGUGAAGCUACAGGAGUAUGAUGAAGAGCAAGAAGGGCAGCCUGGAGAGAAAGAGGAGCCGGGUUGAGCCCACAACUCUCAUCCACGUACCACGAGGAAGAUGAGGGAGAGAAAUUAUCCUACCAUUAAAGAGACUGUGCAAAGAAUGUUGAGAACAUCACCACUCUACAGGAAUACACAGUCCAGUAAUGUGUGUCAGAAGUUCAGUA